AGGGUUGAAGUUUAAAACAAUUGAUUUGCAAUCAAAUAUUAUUGAAAUAUUUUCAAUCUACCUU
rnacentral:tRNA from 1 species